rnacentral:rRNA from 1 species
UACGUAGGGAGCGAGCGUUGUCCGGAAUCAUUGGGCGUAAAGAGCGCGUAGGUGGAUCAAUUAGUCUGCUGUGAAAGUCAAAGGCUCAACCUUUGAAAGCCGGUGGAUACUGUUGAUCUAGAGUACGGAAGAGGCGAGUGGAAUUCCUGGUGUAGCGGUGGAAUGCGCAGAUAUCAGGAGGAACACCGGUGGCGAAGGCGGGUCUCUGGGCCGAUACUGACGCUGGAGGAGCGAAAGCGUGGGGAGCGAACAGG